UACGUAGGUGGCAAGCGUUGUCCGGAUUUACUGGGCGUAAAGGAUGCGUAGGCGGACAUUUUAAGUCAGAUGUGAAAAUACCCCGAGCUUAACUUGGGUGCUGCAUUUGAAACUGGGUGUCUAGAGUGCAGGAGAGGUAAGUGGAAUUCCUAGUGUAGCGGUGAAAUGCGUAGAGAUUAGGAAGAACACCAGUGGCGAAGGCGACUUACUGGACUGUAACUGACGCUGAUGCACGAAAGCUGGGGGAGCAAACAGG
rnacentral:rRNA from 1 species